AGAGUUUGAUCAUGGCUCAGAUUGAACGCUGGCGGAAUGCUUUACACAUGCAAGUCGAACGGCAGCACGGGGGCAACCCUGGUGGCGAGUGGCGAACGGGUGAGUAAUACAUCGGAACGUGCCCAGUCGUGGGGGAUAACGUAGCGAAAGCUACGCUAAUACCGCAUACGAUCUGUGGAUGAAAGCGGGGGAUCGCAAGACCUCGCGCGAUUGGAGCGGCCGAUGGCAGAUUAGGUAGUUGGUGGGGUAAAGGCCUACCAAGCCGACGAUCUGUAGCUGGUCUGAGAGGACGACCAGCCACACUGGGACUGAGACACGGCCCAGACUCCUACGGGAGGCAGCAGUGGGGAAUUUUGGACAAUGGGCGCAAGCCUGAUCCAGCCAUUCCGCGUGCAGGAUGAAGGCCCUCGGGUUGUAAACUGCUUUUGUACGGAACGAAAAGGUCUGAGUUAAUACCUCGGGCUGAUGACGGUACCGUAAGAAUAAGCACCGGCUAACUACGUGCCAGCAGCCGCGGUAAUACGUAGGGUGCGAGCGUUAAUCGGAAUUACUGGGCGUAAAGCGUGCGCAGGCGGUGAUGUAAGACAGGUGUGAAAUCCCCGGGCUUAACCUGGGAACUGCAUUUGUGACUGCAUCGCUGGAGUGCGGCAGAGGGGGAUGGAAUUCCGCGUGUAGCAGUGAAAUGCGUAGAUAUGCGGAGGAACACCGAUGGCGAAGGCAAUCCCCUGGGCCUGCACUGACGCUCAUGCACGAAAGCGUGGGGGAGCAAACAGGAUUAGAUACCCUGGUAGUCCACGCCCUAAACGAUGUCAACUGGNUUGUUGGUCCUUCACUGGAUCAGUAACGAAGCUAACGCGUGAAGUUGACCGCCU
rnacentral:rRNA from 1 species